rnacentral:rRNA from 1 species
AAAAGUAAGCAAGGGCAGACGGUGGAUGCCUAGGCUCUCGGAGGCGAAGAAGGACGUGAUAAGCUGCGAAAAGCUGCGGGAAUCGGCACAUACGAAUUGAUCCGCAGAUAUCCGAAUGGGGCAACCCGUCAGGCCAAGGCCUGACACAUGAAUUGAUUUCAUGAGCGAACGCGGGGAACUGAAACAUCUCAUUACCCGCAGGAGAAGAAAACAAAAGUGAUUCCCUUAGUAGUGGCGAGCGAAAGGGGAUUAGCCCAAACCGGCUUUGUUUCGGCAAAGUCGGGGUAAUAGGACUUCGACAAAAGUUUAAUGGUUAGAUAUAGGAGAACCUACUGGAAAGUAUGGCCGAAGAGCAUGAAAGCUGCGUAUCCGACAUAUCGAACAAUAGACGACGGAGCACCUGAGUAGCGCGGGACACGAGACAUCCUGUGUGAAUUGGCGGGGCCCAUCCCGUAAGGCUAAAUACUCCCGAGAGACCGAUAGUGAACCAGUACCGUGAGGGAAAGGUGAAAAGAACCUCGAACAGAGGAGUGCAAUAGACCCUGAACCCGUCUGCCUACAAGCGGUAGGAGCGCCAUUAAGGUGUGACUGCGUGCCUUUUGCAUAAUGAACCUACGAGUUACUGUUUGUGGCAAGGUUAAUUGUUAUAAUCAAGACAAGGAGCCGAAGCGAAAGCGAGUCUUAAAAGGGCGCCCAUUUAGUCACGAGCAGUAGACGCGAAACCAAGUGAUCUACCCUUGGUCAGGUUGAAGGUUAGGUAACACUAACUGGAGGACCGAAUCGGUAAGCGUUGAAAAGCUUUCGAAUGAACUGAGGGUAGGGGUGAAAGGCUAAUCAAACUUGGAGAUAGCUCGUACUCCCCGAAAUGCAUUUAGGUGCAGCCUGUGGAGUUUCUUACGUGAGGUAGAGCGACUGAUUGGAUGCGAGGCUUUCACCGGCUAUCAAGUCCAGACAAACUCCGAAUGCACGUUAAGUAAGAUCCACGGAGUGAGGGCAUGGGUGCUAAGGUCCAUGUCCGAGAGGAGAAGAAUCCAGACCAUCGGCUAAGGUCCCGAAAUAAUAGCUAAGUUGACCAAACGAAGUCAGAGUGCGAAGACAGCUAGGAUGUUGGCUUGGAAGCAGCCAUUCAUUUAAAGAGUGCGUAACAGCUCACUAGUCGAGGAUUUUGGCAUGGAUAAUACACGGGCAUAAGCAAUUUACCGAAGCCGUGGGAUAUAGUAAAAUAUCGGUAGGGGAGCAUUCCAGCGACGUAGAAGGGAAAAGGGCGACUUUUUCUGGAGUUUCUGGAAAAGCAAAUGUAGGUAUAAGUAACGAUAAAGGGGGCGAGAACCCCCCUCGCCGAAAGACCAAGGUUUCCUGAUCAACGCUAAUCGGAUCAGGGUUAGUCGGGGCCUAAGGAUAAGCCGAAUGGCGAUUCCGAUGGAAGAACCGGUUAAUAUUCCGGUACUGAUACAGAGAGCGAUGUGGUGACGGAGAAGUGACAGUCCGGCCGUCUGACGGAAUAGGCGGUUAAAGGGUGUAGAUGUCGAUCGGGGUAGGCAAAUCCGCCCUGAGAGUCGAACCUGACAGUACCCGGAGUACAAGUACGAAGGGAUAAGGACGUAACCCGGCUCCCAAGAAAACCCGCUAAGCAUAUUUCUGUGUUACCCGUACCGUAAACCGACACAGGUGGUUGGGUUGAGUAUACUAAGGCGCUCGAGAGAUUCGCGGUUAAGGAACUAGGCAAAAUGGUCCUGUAACUUCGGGAGAAAGGACGCCUGUCUCCGGACAGGCCGCAGAAACCAGGCCCAGGCGACUGUUUAACAAAAACACAAGGCUAUGCAAAAAAGCAAUUUGAGGUAUAUAGUCUGACACCUGCCCGGUGCUGGAAGGUUAAGAGGAGGAGUCAUCGUCAAGAGAAGCUCUGAAUUGAAGCCCCAGUAAACGGCGGCCGUAACUAUAACGGUCCUAAGGUAGCGAAAUUCCUUGUCGGGU